AACGUAGGAGACGAGCGUUAUCCGGAUUUACUGGGCGUAAAGCGCGUGCAGGCGGUUUUCUAAGUCGGACGUGAAAGCUCCUGGCUCAACUGGGAGAGGUCGUUCGAAACUAGGAGACUUGAGGGUGGUAGAGGAGAGUGGAAUUCCCGGUGUAGUGGUGAAAUGCGUAGAUAUCGGGAGGAACACCAGUGGCGAAGGCGGCUCUCUGGGCCAUUCCUGACGCUCAGACGCGAAAGCUAGGGGAGAGAACGGG
rnacentral:rRNA from 1 species